rnacentral:rRNA from 1 species
GAUGAACGCUGGCGGCGUGCCUAAUACAUGCAAGUCGAGCGAACGGACGAGAAGCUUGCUUCUCUGAUGUUAGCGGCGGACGGGUGAGUAACACGUGGAUAACCUACCUAUAAGACUGGGAUAACUUCGGGAAACCGGAGCUAAUACCGGAUAAUAUUUUGAACCGCAUGGUUCAAAAGUGAAAGACGGUCUUGCUGUCACUUAUAGAUGGAUCCGCGCUGCAUUAGCUAGUUGGUAAGGUAACGGCUUACCAAGGCAACGAUGCAUAGCCGACCUGAGAGGGUGAUCGGCCACAAUGGAACUGAGAAAAGGUCCAGACUCCUACGGGAGGCAGCAGUAGGGAAUCUUCCGCAAUGGGCGAAAGCCUGACGGAGCAACGCCGCGUGAGUGAUGAAGGUCUUCGGACCGUAAAACUCUGUUAUUAGGGAAGAACAUAUGUGUAAGUAACUGUGCACAUCUUGACGGUACCUAAUCAGAAAGCCACGGCUAACUACGUG